rnacentral:tRNA from 1 species
GUUUGGAUAACUUAUAGAAUAGAGUGUAAUAUUGAAGAUAUUAAAGAGAUUUUUUUAAUCUUCAAAUA